GGUGGCUUUGAUAUAUGGUGGUGGUCGUGUUGGUUGCGGUUGGGUUUCAUCUAUCGUCGAACAAAAAUAUGAUAUCUCAUCCUAUCAGUGGAUGGAUCGAUCGCACAUUUGGCAUGCAUUCUGGCUUAAUUUUGCUACAUUAAUUUGACAUCAACAGCACCUUUCCUUCCAUUCCAUGCUGGAUUCUCGCUCGUCAAUAAAUAAAUAUAUAAUGACUGACUGUUGGCGAGAUCUCCCCUCUCUCUCAGAUUCAGAUUCAGGCAGAGCCGCGGGUUAAGGUUUGGUAUUUGGUAUUUUGCUUUUCCACGAUGCGGACCCAGUACAGCAGAUCAGAUCCAUUCCCUUAGCGAUUCAUCCGCAUUGCUCUCAGAUCCAGCGAUUUCAGAUCAGAGGUGGAGAGCCGAGUUGCGCGUCCUCUGGUCAGAUGCCUCAAGCCGGCGUCCUCCACCUGACGUAUGCUAGAACAGGCUCACACAAAUCUGAUGGUGGAGCCAGUCCAAGCUUUUUUGGUUCUAGAGGAUGAGGCCAGGACACUUGGUUUUUUUGUGAAUGUUUAGAUGGGUGAAAGAAACUGCCUUCGUAUUCGUUGUAAUUUGCUUAUUGCUUUUUCUUUGUAACCGCUGAGUUGAAUUACCUGUAUUAAAAAGGUAGAAACGUCCUGAAGCAAAGAGGGUCUGAAUCUAUCAGGAAACAUUACUAUUUUAUUAAUAAUUCCCUGUUCCUAUUCUAUUC